CAGGUGCUGAGGACACAGUGGUGAGCAAAGCAAAGUCCCUGCCUGUGUGGAAUUUACAUUUCUGUGUGGGAGGCAGGCAAGACAAGAGGACGAGCACAAACAAUAUUUCAGAGAGUGGCUUGGGAUAUUUUUUGCCAAAUAACGAGAAAAGUGGAGAGGAGAAGAAAACAGGAAGAUGGGCGAAAGUCCUGAGAGUGUGAGGAAAGCUUCC
rnacentral:lncRNA from 1 species